GGGGCGGGGCCAGCAGGGGGCGGGGCCCGAGCGGCGGCGCGGCUGGAACGGCCCGGGCGGUUCUAGAAACGGGGAGCGGAGAGGGCGGCACGGAGCGGGACGGGGUGCUCUGUGAGGGUGGAGCUGAGCUGAGCGGCCACUGCAGCCAUCUUUACCAGAGUAAUACUUCAUCUUUCUGGCAUUAAGGACUUGGAAAUAAUCCCACAGGUUUGAGCUGUCUGGAAGAUGAAGCCCUGGCUGCAGUUGGUGUUCUUCACCUGUGUUUUGUUCUGGCUCACAGAAGCAGAGUUCUUCACCUCCAUAGGUCAAAUGACAGACCUGAUUUAUGCAGAGAAAGACUUGGUCCAGUCUCUAAAGGAAUAUAUUCGAGCAGAGGAGAACAAGCUCUCUCAGAUUAAAAGUUGGGCUGAAAAAAUGGAUGCACUGACCAGCAAAUCAACCUCUGAUCCAGAAGGGUACCUGGCACACCCUGUCAAUGCAUACAAGCUCGUGAAGCGUUUGAACACUGACUGGCUGGAAUUGGAAAACCUGGUUCUUCAGGAUACAACACAUGGCUUUAUUGCAAAUCUGACAUUCCAACGCCAGUUUUUUCCGACUGAGGAGGAUGAGACUGGAGCUGCGAAGGCUCUGAUGCGUCUGCAGGACACCUAUAAACUGGAUCCUGAAACUCUGUCCCGAGGGAACUUACCAGGAGCAAAAUAUAGAUCCACCUUGACAGUAGGUGACUGCUUUGGCAUGGGGAAGACAGCCUACAACGACGGGGACUAUUAUCACACCGUGCUCUGGAUGGAGCAGGCCCUGAAGCAGCACGACGAGGGGGAGGAAACUGCAGUCAGCAAAGUGGAGAUCCUGGAUUAUCUCAGCUAUGCUGUGUUCCAGUUUGGGGACCUGCACAGGGCCAUGGAGCUCACCAGGCGCCUGAUAUCCCUGGACAGCACUCACGAGAGAGCAGGCAGCAACCUGAGGUACUUUGAGAAGCUGCUGGAGAAGGAAAGAGAGGAGAAGGAGAGAGAAAAGCCAGUAAACAGGACCAGGACAACGACAGAAGCUGUGGUGCAGAGUGGAGCCUAUGAGAGGCCUCUUGACUACCUGCCAGAGCGGGACAUCUACGAGGCCCUUUGCAGAGGGGAAGGGGUGAAAAUGACACCUCGAAGACAAAAAAGGCUGUUUUGUAGGUACCACGAUGGAAACAGAAACCCCCACCUGCUCAUAGCUCCCUUUAAGGAGGAGGAUGAAUGGGACAGCCCUCAUAUUGUACGAUACUAUGAUGUCAUGUCUGAUGAAGAAAUCGAGAAAAUUAAACAACUAGCUAAGCCAAGGCUGGCACGAGCCACAGUACGUGAUCCCAAAACCGGUGUCCUUACAGUGGCUAGCUACAGGGUGUCAAAGAGCUCAUGGUUGGAGGAAGAUGAUGAUCCUGUUGUGGCCAAGGUGAACCAACGAAUGCAGCAGAUCACAGGGCUGACAGUGAAAACAGCCGAGCUCUUGCAGGUUGCCAACUACGGAAUGGGAGGGCAGUAUGAGCCACACUUUGAUUUUUCUAGGUUAUCAUGCAGGCCUGUUGCAUGGAUGGACUGUGACUUUUGGAAAGCCUUUGCACUGCCUUCUCUGAUGCUGACAGUUCAAGAGAAUAACGAACAGAUCUUCCUGCAUAUCUCUGUGACCUCGAUUCCUUGCACAGUAUAGACAGUAAAAGAGUCAUGUAGCACUUGAGUGUGCUCUUUCCAUUGCUUCAUUUGUAAACUGGGGUCUGCAAGCCCUGAGUUGUGAGUUUGCCUUGUUCCAUUAGGCUUUUGAGUUCAACAAGGUUGUUCAAAUCCUGUUUUGCUGGAUGUUUUAAAGCAUUUUGCAGGAGGUGGCCGAGGAGGAGAGAUCCUCCACCUUCCCUCCAAAAAAAGCCAUUAUGGAAGUCCUCACAGGUCAUACAGCCCUUCUGGCAAAAGCCUUAUUGUGGCUGCAGCUCUGGGCUCUCAAGAGGGUAUUAUGAUGUUAGUUUUUAGCAUUUGGACAGUGUCCUGUUCAGGCUGGACACUAAGAAGAAUUUCUUCAGCAAGGGUGAUUAACAUUGGAAUGGGCUGCAAGGGAGGUGGUGGGGUUACUGUCCCUGGAGGUGUUUUAGGGAAAGGCUGGACUGGCACUGAGUGCCCUGGUCUGGUUGACAAGGUGCUGUUUGGUCACAGGUUGGACUUGAAGAUCUCAGAGGCCUUUUCCAGCCUCACUGAUGUGGGGUUGGUGUUAAGGAGGACAGUGCUCCAGGGAGCAGGGGAAUGUGCUGGUGGUGGGUGCUGGAUCCACACCAGGCACUAGAGGGCUCUGCCUGGCAGAGAACAGCUCUGGUUUGCUCCAGGCUGGGAGAAAAGAAGAGCAAAUUCUUAAUAAUUACCCUGAGCCACUUCAUGAACCUGCUAAUCACACUGAAGAGCUGUAGUGACUGGUAGUUUCAAAUAUAAAACCCAUCUGAUGUCUUGCUUUCUGUGGUACUUCAGUGGAAUCUGGCUUAAUUCAGACUGUCAGGGUGGUUUUACCUGGUAGAAGGGAUUGCUGCAGCCAGAGCACACAACCCAACAGCUGAGUGCAGAAUUGAAGCCACCCAACUUAGCACUGUUUAAAAAAUAAAAUAAAAAAAUCCUGAGUUUCAACACCAUGGAAGCUCAUACUUGUUAGCUUUGGCCCGCUGAGACAAUUUUCCUGUUAGCUUUGACUGCUUCGUUUCCUGAGUCGAGCAAAUGCUCUCAAAUUCUCUUCAAAGCCUUUGAACUCAAAGGACCUCAGGCAUCAAACUGGCCAGUGUGGGCUUUGCUGUUGGAAGAGGCAGCUGGGGCAGAGCUCCACUUGGAACAUGCCCUUGGCUGCAGGGUCAGCCGGGGCCGGGCGGUCGCAGAGGUUGCUGCAGUUCUGGGCUGGUCCUGCAGGCUCUCUGUGCACCACAGAUUUUCUGUGAUCAGCCUUGCAGCUUUUUGUUUCCUCUCAGUUCUCAAAUAGGGGCACUUCAAUAGUUGCAUAUUGCAACUUGGAGAUUUUAGUAAUUGUUCGAGUUAGACAUUUAUUUUUUUUUUUUUUUGCUCUUGAAGUUCAGAAAUUCAUGGGUUUCACAUCAGUGGCAGUAACCAGGGAAUCCCCUGUAUCUCAGUGCUCCAGUGUUGGCUCUUUUGGGUUGAAUUUGCACCUGCACAGUCCUGGGGAUUUUGUGAACCCAUUUCAGGAAAGGCCUCUUAUUUCUUAAAAUAUAUUUCAAGUAGAUUGAACUAUAACACCUUAGAGACAGUGGCUGUGGUUUUCCUUACUGUUUGUCUUUUUAAAUACUGAUUUAUUCUUUAAAUGUUAAAUAUUGUUUUUGUGUGUAAGAAUGCACUUGAAGAUCUCCUGACUGAAAUGAUUUCCUGACUAUUAGCAAUGUAAAUAACCUUCAAACAAAUGAAAUGAAAAGUUAAGAGAGACACUGGUAUUCUAGAUUUUCUUUCUGCUUCUAAACUGGCACCAGUGAGAUCUCCUACUUUGACAAAUGAAACUCAAUUUUUCUUACAGAUUAAAGACAAUUUGAUCUUUUUGAUGUGGUCUUUAGUUGUAGACAGGCAACCACCUGAAAGAAGUUCAUUAUUGCUACUCUACAGUUUUGUCUGCUGGCAAAAAAAAAAAUGCAUAUUCUCCUCUCAUGACAGUAUUUCUUUGAGUUGCUGUGUCUAUGAGAAUCUGCUGUGUUAUCUAGAGCCCAGUGAAGAUUAGGUUUUUUUGUAUUCACCUCAGCUGUUGACUUUGGAUGAGUGCCCAGGACAACAAUGGCCUGUUGUUAACCUUCCUUGGCUAACGUGUGUGCCACAGGCACUGCUUCUGCUCUGCCCUCAGAAUGGCUUUGGUGCAGCUCCUCCGUGCAUGCAGCUUGGGAUGGCUUCCCUGUCGCCCCAGUGAACUGUCCCCUUUCUCUGCCAGCUCUUUAAACUGGGCCUGAGGAUCUCUGCAGAGCUCCUGUGGCUCUGGUGGGAGCCUGUGUGGAACUGGGGUUAAAGUUGUUGUCUGUUGCAGCGCCCCUUUGACAGCACACUCAAAUCGGAAGGAAAUAGGCUAGCGACGUUUCUUAACUAUGUAAGUACCUCUGUCUGUCUGUCUGCUGUCUGAGAGCUCGAAAUUUGCAGUUUGUUCUCAUUUUAUAGAAAGAUGAGCCAGAUGCUUUCAAGCGGUUAGGGACUGGAAAUCGUGUGGCCACUUUUUUAAACUAUAUGAGCGACGUAGAAGCUGGAGGAGCUACAGUUUUCCCAGAUUUUGGGGCAGCAAUAU